GCAGGGUUAUUAUAGAACUUAUGAGCUGGACAUGCAAGCUCAAUUCAUGAAGUAAUUAACCAAAGGCCCUAAAAUGGAAUUUCCUAAGUUUGAUGGAACAGAUCAUGUUGGAUGGAUCGGGCAAUGCAACAAAUACUUUCAGAUGUCUGCAGCUCCAGAGGAAUAUAAGGUUUCACUUGCUCAGCUGUACAUUGUUGGUGAUGCUGAUACUUGGCUCAGAAGAUCUGGUAUCCUGAAGAAACAGUUGAGCU
rnacentral:lncRNA from 1 species